GCGGACCUGGAGCGGCCUACGGCCCGGCGCGUCUCGGGGGCCUUCGCGGACGGCGGUGACUAGGCCGCACUCCCCGGAGCAAAGCCCGGUUGUGCCCGCGAGUCAGCACACGCAGGUGUCCCCGGCUUCGAACCCCAGGAUCAGCUGUUCCUAAUCUAGGGUCGAUGCUUCUCAGCGAAUCUCAUCAAAUAUCCAGCAAAGAUUAACCAACAGAGAAAGCAGGAGCCACACUCUACCAGAACUCCAUGAACCCUUUCUGCUGAUGAAGGAGGGCUACUUAAACUUCAGUCUUCUGACCCUCUGGGGGCAUUCAGGCUCUGUAUGUGACUCAUACUGGUAUUUUUUUUCCCUGCUGCAUGUAAAUAAAUAUAUAGACCUUUUUCUCCUGUGA